UGGGGAAUAUUGGACAAUGGGGGCAACCCUGAUCCAGCAAUGCCGCGUGUGUGAAGAAGGUCUUCGGAUUGUAAAGCACUUUCGACGGGGACGAUGAUGACGGUACCCGUAGAAGAAGCCCCGGCUAACUUCGUGCCAGCAGCCGCGGUAAUACGAAGGGGGCUAGCGUUGCUCGGAAUGACUGGGCGUAAAGGGCGUGUAGGCGGUUUACACAGUCAGAUGUGAAAUCCCCGGGCUUAACCUGGGAGCUGCAUUUGAUACGUGUAGACUAGAGUGUGAGAGAGGGUUGUGGAAUUCCCAGUGUAGAGGUGAAAUUCGUAGAUAUUGGGAAGAACACCGGUGGCGAAGGCGGCAACCUGGCUCAUGACUGACGCUGAGGCGCGAAGGCGUGGGGAGCAAACAGGAUUAGAUACCCUGGUAGUCCACGCUGUAAACGAUGUGUGCUAGAUGUUGGGUAACUUUGUUAUUCAGUGUCGCAGUUAACGCGUUAAGCACACCGCCUGGGGAGUAC
rnacentral:rRNA from 1 species